UUCCCUGGCAGUUCAGUGGUUAAAACUCAGCACUUUCACUGCCCUGGGUCCAGGUUCCAUUCCUGGUUGGGAAA
rfam:TPA: Bos taurus chromosome 18, whole genome shotgun sequence.